rnacentral:ncRNA from 1 species
CCAAAGGCUCUUUUCAGAGCCAUUAACCUCCAAAAAGAUACAGAGU